rnacentral:rRNA from 1 species
UACAGAGGUCCCGAGCGUUGUCCGGAAUUAUUGGGCGUAAAGGGCUCGUAGGCGGUCUGUUGCGUCGGGAGUGAAAACUUACAGCUUAACUGUGAGCGUGCUUCCGAUACGGGCAGACUUGAGGUAUUCAGGGGAGAACGGAAGUUCCUGGUGUAGCGGUGAAAUGACUGCAGAUAUCGAGAGGAACACCUGCGGCGAAGGCGGGUCUCUGGGCCGAUACUGACGCUGAGGAGCGAAAGCGUGGGGAGCGAACAGG